GACGAACGCUGGCGGCGUGCCUAAUACAUGCAAGUCGAACGCAGUGGGGACGGGUGAGUAACACGUGGGUAACCUCCCAUCAGAGGGGAUAACACUUGGAAACAGGUGCUAAACCGAUACUGAUGGAUGGACCCGCGGUGCAUUAGCUAGUUGGUGAGGUAACGGCUCACCUAGGCGACGAUCCCUAGCUGGUCUGAGAGGAUGACCGGCCACACUGGAACUGAGACACGGCCCAGACUCCUACGGGAGGCAGCAGUGGGGAAUAUUGGACAAUGGGCGAAAGCCUGAUGCAGCCAUGCCGCGUGUGUGAAGAAGGCCUUCGGGUUGUAAAGUACUGUCAGCGGGGAGGCGUUACUCGAAGAAGAAGCACCGGCUAACUCCGUGCCAGCAGCCGCGGUAAUAC
rnacentral:rRNA from 1 species